rnacentral:tRNA from 1 species
ACUUACUAAGUAUAAUAAUGUACGGUUGCCUUCCAAGUAACAAGUUUAAAAGAAUAUUAAAGUAAGUA